GAUCACAAAACAAGCCCGUUUCCCGGCAAGCACGGCAUUUUCGGGCCGUCUGGGGAGGACUUGAGCGGGGACAUCCAGCUGCCGCCAUUUCGGCCAGGUGCCGCUCCUCACCUCAGCGUGGCUCUGCUGCUUCGAGGUGAGCUUGAAUCAGCCAGGACUCAUCACCCACGGCUCUCCUGCGGGUUAGUGCUGAUCUCCGAGGAGGAACAGUGCAGAUGCACUGAGAGUUCCCAUCUGUUUGUGAGCUUGGAUGUUUCCAGCAGGCAGAAAAAAAGGCAAUGUAGGCAGUUCCUUCUGUCCUUCCCAAAGUGCUUCCUGGCAUCUGGGCAGAGGAACAAGGCUCUGGUGUUGCUCACCACGAAGGGAACGAGUGCUGAGUGGGCUCCACAUUCUGCAGACACCACUGAGUCCACAUGAAGGCGUUAAGAGCAGCCGAGCCAGCUCUGCUGGAGACUGCACUUGAAUACCAGGAAUGGGAAGGCUGCAUGCAGUGGGCUCUGCCUGCUUCCCUGUUCCUGUGGCUCUGCAGAACAGAACUGAUACUGGAAUGUGAGGCACUGACAUUGGCUGCUCUAACCCUGACCCAGCUUGGCACAGACACCUUGAGGCAUAAGAGCAAUGCAUGCCCUUUAAAAAAAACCUACGUCAUGUUUAUAGAUUUUGAAUCUUCGAGUUCCCGAAGCUUCAGCUGGAGUCAACAGGUGUCCAGGGCACUGGGAAAUGAUCUACAGAGAGCCAACAGUUUGCAGGACCAGGCUUCAUCCCUCUGGUUGGAGCACACUUUGGUUUCUCUGAGACCUCCUCCUUUGGAUCCUGCAAGGACAGAAGGCACAAGGAGUUUCCAUCAUCAGAAAGCCAGCCCAGAGAAGAUUUGGCACCCACCAAAUGUGGUCCCUCCCCACCAGAUCACAACGGGAGACUGGCAUCUUCCAGAGGAAAACUCAACCAGCUCUCACAGGACUGCUUUCUCAUGAAUCCCAGCAUGAUGGAUUGUGCUGGCAUCAGUAGCAACACUCAUAUUUCAGUCCAAGGCCACUUCUGCAAGCUUCUCUUCUAGGCAUCUAUGCUUGGUCACCAUCCCCAAACCAAUUCCUGUGGGCAAAUCCACAGCAUGAGGGACAGGACUUCACCACAUCCACGUUAAAAUGUUCCCAGCAGAUUAAAGAUGAAAGCUUUCUUCCUCUCCAGUGCACUGGAAGAGCCUUUACAAAGGCAGGAUCCCUGCACCCCUCCCUUGGAACACCCUGCUGCUCCCCACACCCCAUGGACCCCUCAAUAAGCCUCUUUCCCUGGAGCAAGGCAAGAGGAAUCCCUUCUGAGCCAAAUCCCCUUACACAAUCACCUCACCAACCUUGUGAUUUGUCAGGAGAGGCCAAGCCCAAAUCCUCCAACCUCCUCCCAGGGACCCCACUGUCCCCCAGACUCAUUUUCUCCAUGUCCCCAUGUGUAAUAGCAGCAAUGCUACUGCAGAAAGCUGGCACACAAAAAGAACAUGUGUGACAAGAGAGCCCCAAACAUCCCAAAAUGGCAUCACUGCACAAACUGGACCAGCUGGAGCUCAGACAUCUUGUUUCAUAACAUGAGAAAAUCCCAAGUGCAUGGAACAGAGUCAGAGCUGGACACUCCCACAGCCAGGAUAGAGCAAGUGCGUAUGGACAAGCUUAAAAAAUUUGGAGGAGAGCCUUGCUAACGAAUCUGUUCUCAUGUACCAAACUCCCACUGAACACGCCCUUGGACAGCAGCUUUCAUCAGGGUAAGCUCUUAUUGCAAAGAGGGAGCUCAAACCCAUAAAAAAGAACAAAAACAGCUUAAUCACCCUGUGCACCCACAUUUAUUCUGACCUCCACUAAGAUCUGGAAGGGGCUGGGCUUUGCGGGUAGGCUCGGGUGCAGACUGGGAACAAGAAACUCAAACAAACUCUUUCACCUAAAAGAAAAAUGGGCUGAAAGCUGUAACAACCUCAGUGCCUUUUGCAGAAUUAUUUCAGUUACACUGAGCUGCAUCUGAAAUGGCCACAAUACAGGAUGACUGAGCAUCAAAAAGUUUUCCGGGAAAUGGAGGGACUACAUAGGGUGGGUUUUUUUUAAACUUGACUUUUUAGGUUGCCAGGAAGUUGUAUUCAGUUGAGAUCUGUGACUUCAGCAAACAUCAAUUCCUGCACAAAUACAGACCUGCUGGUUUCCUGAUCGAGAACCCUUUUGAUGUCAUUUUUAGAUAAUUGGGCAUGGACUUUAACCUCCCUGGUAGCACUUGUGCAUGGAUGUCACUGUAUGAAGAGUUUAUUGAAGAGUUAUUUCAUACUCACUGUAUGAAAGUGAGUCCAGACCAACAACUGCUAAAAUGUUUUCACUCUUUAAGGCUUUUUUUUUUU